CAAAAAAAUCUCCUUCGAUUCCUGACAAGAAUGGUGCUUGUGCCAAUUUGUAUGACGAAUGAUUUGCAUGUCUCUUGUUCCGGUAUUGACAUGCAUACAAAUUGGCCACCCUACCAUUUCAGAUUGGUUAGGAUGUUGAAGUCUGAUUGGACCUUUUAUCUACUCAAGAAAAGGCUUGAAAUACUCGCUCUCGCUUGUUCGAAUGAAAAUGAGCCAUUCCAGGACGGGCGCCGCGAGUGCAACUCUGCUACCACAACAUCAUCUGAGAAUGGCGUGUGUGCUCUAGAAACCAAGUACUUCGAAGAGAAACUUAUUCGCGUGGGCUAAACUAAUGGACCGCAACGGAAAAGUAUGGCAAAAAAAAUUACGGAUAUCAUUGGAUCGGGCGGUGGCUACCAUCCGCUAUGUACAAUGCGAUACAAGUUCGAUCGGGCGGUGGAACAAAGAAAUCCCAUUUUAAAGACCAUUUGGACUCGGAUGGCGGAGCUAUUUAAUAUGAUCACGAACCCAAGGAAAAUCAUUGUUGGGUGUGACCUUGGUCAUAAAAAUAAAUGAGUUUUUCAGUC